UACGUAGGUGGCAAGCGUUUGUCCGGAUUUAUUGGGUUUAAAGGGUGCGUAGGCGGCCCUGUAAGUCAGUGGUGAAAUACGGCAGCUCAACUGUCGAGGUGCCAUUGAUACUGCAGGGCUUGAGUACAGACGAGGUAGGCGGAAUUGACGGUGUAGCGGUGAAAUGCUUAGAUAUCGUCAAGAACACCGAUAGCGAAGGCAGCUUACUAGACUGUAACUGACGCUGAGGCACGAAAGUGUGGGGAUCAAACAGG
rnacentral:rRNA from 1 species